CCAGAGUCGGGUCGGACCCCAAGAACCAGAAUCAUCACCCGAUUUCCAACACGUAUAUAAAUACUCGAGAACAUCCAGCGAGGCGCCCAAACUACCUCCUGCGACAAAACAUAAUUGAUCAGCAUAUAAUUAUGGUGAUACAUAGAGUCGAGAUGUGUAUAUCGUUGGCGAAGCUCGCAGUGGAGUUCGUUCUCUCCGUGGCGGAAGCUGUCCACGUCGUUCAACGAGACACCAUCGCCGGCGGCGGCGGCGGCGAUGACGUUGUCCUUCUCUUGCCGCAGCUCCGCCGUCCUAGCUACGCUUACUUCAGCGGCGGCGCCCCUUCUUCUUCUGCCGUUUCGGUUCCUUUGGUUGGGUUCCUUCCUUAAAGAGAGAACAAAAAAGUAUUAGUUCAUUUCUUCCUCCUCCCGGAGAAAAACAACGCCGCCGCCGCCGCCGACAAACCGACAAAAGCCCCAGCUGGUUUUAAUUUUCUCCGGUUCGUUGACUUUUCUUUUUUGGGCGGUAUACGGUACUAUAUAUGUACUGUUCACGAUGUAUGUAUAGACGUAUUCUUUAGAGUGAAAAAAAUUAAUGUUAAAAAGAGUCGGCUGCUAUUCUCCUUUCAUCUGCGGUCGGUACUCCAUCUCCUUGCCGCCGGCCGACAACACUUCACCUCUUCAUCGACGGCAGGCUAUAUUGCUUCUUCUUCUUCCGUCUAUGUUCGAAGAACUUCCGAUUUCGCUUCGUUUUAUAAAUUUUCAACGAUUGAGAUUGAAUGGGUGAUUUGAAAAAGAGAAUCGUUUUACGAUAAGACAAAAAUCAUUUGUCUCACCAUUUACGAACGCAACGAGGACAGCCCAAGUAGGAUCUCGGUUGGUCAAGGUCGGAGUUGCCGCCGUGGUUGUUGUUCUCGCUACUGCUAACUGACUCUUUAAUGUCGAAGUUGGCCGCCGUGCAGUUGUCUUCAACCGGCUUAAUUACUGGUGCCAAUGUUCGAUCCUUGAUGCACACCCUUGACAUUACUUGCAGGCUUCUACUCAUAACAAUAAGAGAAGCAGACAAUUAAACCCAUGGUACGAGGAGCUUCUAUGGUAGUCAGCGACCCAUAUCCGAGCUAAUUAUUCAUGAGAUUUGGUAGUUUCUAACCACAUAAGCAAUAACGGGGUUCGCCUCCAAACGGAGGAGCAUGUAUUCAGGAGAUCCGCAAGUUCCUUGUCUUCUUUCCAGAUGUCUUACAGUUAGUACGGCGGGCAGAUAAUGGAGUCGCCCAUUGCGUGACUCGCAUGGCCCUUAAAUAUUUCCUCGGAAUAUUGCCGGUAACCCUUCUUCCGUAAAUUGAUUAAGUAUUUUUUUAUCUUUAUGCGUUAUUUUUUUAUUUGUGCCCGGAGCCUAUCUAUAAAAUAAGUGUAACGUUGUUUGCUUGUUUAACGUAUAUAUAGUAGGGACCAGGAAUAUUAUCCACAUACAUAUAGUUGCUAAUUAAUCACACUAACAAAUUAACCCAUCUAGUCAUAUGUUUAUAAUCUAACGUGUAAAGUGCAAAGUGGUUAUAUAAUAAUCGAUAUCAAAAGUCUUAUUAAUAAAUUGCACUUUUUUUUAUUAAAGUUAUGUGAAUAAAAUCAUGCAACGCAAGUUGGCUAACCCCUGUCGUGACACAUUUACAAAUAAAUUAAAUAUAUGCAACUCUCAAAUCUCAAUCAAUUACCAAUCAACUUGUGAUUGUGAUGUUGUCCACUAAAAUAAAUAAAUUAUCACCAUACAUAUAAUUAAUGGUUCGUAAACCAAUUUGAACCGGCUAAUUCAAAUGGUUCACUGUACUUGUAGUGAAUAUAGGGUUUCGUCUCGGAUACUUGCCAAACUCUCGACUACAUAAAGACAAAUAAAAGUACGCAUAUAUAUUUUAUGAUUUAGUGGUUCGAUUCAUUAUCCUUGUACAUACAUAGAAUAACAUUUCCCGAAUUCAAUUUAUUGGCAUUUACAUAUCGGAAAGAAAAACUAAUGAUAUUUUCAAUUGACUCGGUCCGACAAUUGUUCCACCCAAAAAAUAAAACAACAACAUGAUUGGGAAAGAAUAUCCCAUCUGGUAUUCUGAUUCGUACAUUUCUUUCAAUACAGAUAAGAUCAUAUAAUUAAAUAUCCGUCCCUUCGCGCAACCAAAGAGGCAGAGUUGGAAUCGAACCCAGAAUCAAAAAUCAAUCCGAUUUUCAACACAUAAAACACUCGUACGAGCAUCGUAAUAAGAAGCAUCCAGACAUUCAACAGCCAGUAAAUCCUAGUAGUGAAUUUCUUAUUUCUUGCACUUUCGGCUUAAUUAUAACUACUAUGGUGGUGAUACACAGAGUGGAGAUGUGCAUUUCGCUGGGGAAGCUCGCUGUGGAGUUCGUGCUCUCCGUGGCGGAAGCUGUCCACGUCGUUCAACGGGACACACUCGCCGGCAGCGGCGGCGGCGAUGAAGUGAUCCUCUUGCCGCAGCUCCGCAGCCGGAGUCCUAGCUAUGCUUAUGCUUACUCCGGCGGCAUUUCUGAGUCCGCCGUUUCGGUUCCCUUCGUUGCGUUUUUUCCUUAGAGGCUAAGGAGAGAAAAGACGGACAAUUCAUUUCUUCCUCCGCCGUAGAGUCGCCUGAAAGACCGCCGCCGCCGACAAACCGACAAAAGCCCCAGCUGCUUUAAUUUUGAAUUUUUUUUUCUCGUAUUUGUUGAAUGUUUUUUCUUGGGCGCGGCGGUAUACGGUACUGUGUACGUAACGUAUGUAUAAACGUAUUCUUUUUUCCUUCCCUUCGUUUAGUUUGGAGGACAUAAUAAUAAAAUCUAAUCUCUUUUAAAAAUAGUGGUUUUUUAAUGGCUCAUAUCAUUGGACCGAUCAUUAUAUGUUAUUAUACGAGUAUUUUAUCAAUAGGUCGCAACUAUUUUUUACGAAACAUAAUUAAAGUUUGAUACGAUUUGAUUUCGUUAUGAUGUUCUUGAUGUUUUAAAAGAUCGGACAGUUUCAUAAGAACGAGACGAAGAAGAAGAAGGUGAUAUCAAAAUGACAAUUAACACACAUAUAUAUGGCAACAAAUGUUACAUAAAUAAUUAGAAAUGAACACAUGAUCGUCUUUCUCACAACAAUGAGUGGUGUUUUUCUCAUUCUCUGUUAACUUAAUUUUUGUGAAUUAG
rnacentral:lncRNA from 1 species